UACGGAGGGGGCUAGCGUUGUUCGGAAUUACUGGGCGUAAAGCGCACGUAGGCGGCUUUGUAAGUUAGAGGUGAAAGCCCGGGGCUCAACCCCGGAAUUGCCUUUAAGACUGCAUCGCUUGAAUCCAGGAGAGGUGAGUGGAAUUCCGAGUGUAGAGGUGAAAUUCGUAGAUAUUCGGAAGAACACCAGUGGCGAAGGCGGCUUACUGGUCCGGUACUGACGCUGCGGUGCGAAAGCGUGGGGAGCAAACAGG
rnacentral:rRNA from 1 species